rnacentral:rRNA from 1 species
UACGAAGGGGACUAGCGUUGUUCGGAAUUACUGGGCGUAAAGCGCACGUAGGCGGAUUUGUUAGUCAGGGGUGAAAUCCCGGGGCUCAACCCCGGAACUGCCUUUAAGACUGCAUCGCUUGAAUCCAGGAGAGGUGAGUGGAAUUCCGAGUGUAGAGGUGAAAUUCGUAGAUAUUCGGAAGAACACCAGUGGCGAAGGCGGCUCACUGGACUGGUAUUGACGCUGAGGUGCGAAAGCGUGGGGAGCAAACAGG